GAUGUGGCACGGUGGUAGUGCGAAUGCCCGCGACGCAGAAGGUUCCGGGUUCAACUCCCGGUGGGUCA